CCCGCUGAACUUAAGCAUAUCAGUAAGCGGAGGAAAAGAAACCAACAGGGAUUCUCACAGUAACUGCGAGUGAAGUGAGAAAAGCCCAGCGCCAAGGUCUCCGGCUGAUUGGUCGGUAGACGAUGCGGCGUUUGGUGGGCACGUUGUGCGCUUGCUGCAGUGGCAAAGUUCCCUUGACUGGGCUCGUGCUCCAUAGUGGGUGUGAGACCUUUAGCCGCUAGCGGUGGGUGUACUUAGUGCUCACUCAGAGUCGGGUUGUUUGAGAGUACAGCCCAAAGCAGGUGGUAAACUCCAUCUAAGGCUAAAUACUAACAGGAGUCCGAUAGCGAACAAGUACCGUGAGGGAAAGUUGAAAAGUACUUUGAAGAGAGAGUUCAAGAGUACGUGAAACUGUCUGGAUGGAAGCGGUUAGGGCCACAUGAGCCAGUCGGUCGGAUUCAGUCGUGACUUGCUGCGGUGUGCAGGUGCGGAUUUUGCCGGGUUCAUCCUCGGUGUUCCGUGAUCGGCCAUUUGUAGUUUGUUGCGGCGUACUUUCGGCCGGCGUACGGCAGCCGCGACCAGUUGACUGAGGUGCCACGUGCGUGGGGAGGUAACCGCGGGCGCUCCUUGUGGGUGCUGUUAACGUUGGUGAAUGCCUGCGCAUCGGUCCAAUCUCGGUCGACUGGGGAGCGACGCGCGACGUACGCUUCCUUCGGGAAGGUGCUUGCUGCUUGGUCGGGCCGGUGUGCGUGCUGCUGAACUGCGUAGCGGUGCGGUGGCUGCGUGCGCUUGCUGUCAGGCUGAGUGUGUUAGCGAAUGCGAGGUACGUCGUUGGUCAGCGGCUUGUUGGUCGCCUAUCCGUCCCGUCUUGAAACACGG
rnacentral:rRNA from 1 species